rnacentral:rRNA from 1 species
GAUGAACGCUGGCGGCGUGCUUAACACAUGCAAGUCGAACGAAGCACUUUAACCUGAUUCUUCGGAUGAAGGUUUUUGUGACUGAGUGGCGGACGGGUGAGUAACGCGUGGGUAACCUGCCUCAUACAGGGGGAUAACAGUUAGAAAUGACUGCUAAUACCGCAUAAGACCACAGAGCCGCAUGGCUCGGUGGGAAAAACUCCGGUGGUAUGAGAUGGACCCGCGUCUGAUUAGGUAGUUGGUGGGGUAACGGCCUACCAAGCCAACGAUCAGUAGCCGACCUGAGAGGGUGCCCGGCCACAUUGGGACUGAGACACGGCCCAAACUCCUACGGGAGGCAGCAGUGGGGAAUAUUGCACAAUGGGGGAAACCCUGAUGCAGCGACGCCGCGUGAGCGAAGAAGUAUUUCGGUAUGUAAAGCUCUAUCAGCAGGGAAGAAAAUGACGGUACCUGACUAAGAAGCACCGGCUAAAUACGUG